UACGUAGGGCGCAAGCGUUAUCCGGAAUUAUUGGGCGUAAAGAGCUCGUAGGCGGUUUGUCGCGUCUGCUGUGAAAAUCCAGGGCUUAACCCUGGACCUGCAGUGGGUACGGGCAGACUGGAGUGCGGUAGGGGAGAUCGGAAUUCCUGGUGUAGCGGUGAAAUGCACAGAUAUCAGGAGGAACACCGGUGGCGAAGGCGGAUCUCUGGGCCGUAACUGACGCUCAUGCACGACAGCGUGGGGAUCAAACAGG
rnacentral:rRNA from 1 species